rnacentral:lncRNA from 12 species
ACGGAUGCUGACAGAGGAGCUGCCCUGCUGAUGAUGGGAGGGCUGUGGCUGCCAGUCUGCACAUCUCCUGCUGACUACAGUUCCACCUGCAAGUGGACACAGGUGCUCUGUCCUGGUUUGAAGGAUGAGAGACACUCAUCGCAUAUGGAGGAACAUAAGAAACACAGAAUUAUCGUUCAUCAGCAUCAAAAUGAUCAAGCAGGUGCUGGUAACAAAUGUGACUCCCUAAGAAGAGCAGCAGAAGAGAGGAGGAAGAGGAAGAACCAGGAGAUCACCUGGGCAGGGUGAAGAGCUCUUGAGCUAUUGGAUUAUUGUUUUCAACCAUUCACUUCCACUAUGUGACUAGCCUAUGCCACCCAUAGGAGAGGUAGGCAACCGCACCUAAUUGACCUUGGGCUUGGGCAUGUGACUUGCUUCGGCCAGUGGGAUGUAAGCAGACUGGAUAUUUGCUAUGUUCAAGAAGAGGCAGUAAAUGUGGGCUCUGCUGAACUUUUCUCUACUACUCUUAAAUUUCUGUCUGCUCUAUGUCCCAGAGAGGAACUCCUCCUUCAUUCUGGUCCUGCAUGGAAAAGACGCAUGUUGUUCAGCACAGUGGAGCCAAGCUAAGCCCAGAAGAACUGAUCAGAGUCAUAGUCAACCUACAGCUCUUAUGUAAUGUGGGCAAGAGAUAAAAACAUUCAUUGUAGUAAGUCACUAGGAAAUGGAACUUAUCUGUUACUACAGCAAAAACUGACCAGCACACUCCAGUGAAAACACAGUACCGUGAAAUAGUCAUGAAAUAUUUGCCGCCUGAUUAAAUGUGGUCGGGAGCAUGGACUCUGGCACCAGACUGCUAAGGUAUAAAUUCCAGCUCUGACACUCAUGAUCCAUGAGAACAUGACCAAAUUACUCAAUCUCUCUGUGUCUUGAGUUUCUCCAUUUGUAAAAUUGGGAUAAUAGUGGCAUGUACCUCUGGAGAUUUUGUGAGGAUUAAAUUAGUUUAUAUAUAUUAAUUAGUUUGCAUAUGCUAAUAUAUAUGGUGCUAUAUAUAAAUAUAAGUAUAUAUAUAAUGUUUAGAAUUAUGCCAUGGCACCCAGUAUUUGUUAAUAUUAUUAUUCAAUAUUUAUCUUUGUUUCAUUUUGACAAUAUGGUAAUCUUCAUUACACAUUUUUAAAGUUUAUCUUCAUUUCAUGUGCUAUUUAAAGUGACUUCUUACUAACCACAGUUUAUUUCACCAGAUGAGUCUUGUGUUGUGUAUUUAAGAGCACCCCACACUGCACUGAGUAUUCCCCUGCAUUCAGUGGACGUAUUUUUUAUUCUUAUCUUUAAGUCAAAGAUGAAAAUGAUCAACAGGACCAAGUUUUUACUAUACAUAUCUGGUACUUUAUUAAGUGGCAAAGUACUUUUAUUAAGUUGAAAGCAAUUAAUUUAAAAAGUACCCAGAGUGGGGCAUCCGGGUGGCUCAGUGGUUGACUGUCUGCCUUUGGCUCAGGUCGUGAUCCCAGGAUCUUGGGGUGGAGUUCCACAUCAGGCUCCCUAUGGAGAGCCUCCUUCUCCCUUUACCUAUGUCUCUGCCUCUCUCUUUGUCUCUCAUGAAUAAAUAAAUAAAAUAUUAAAAAAAAACCA